rnacentral:rRNA from 1 species
ARUASUNCUUCGCCCUGUUUUUUANCAAAACAUCGCCUCUUGAAAAAACAAUAUAAGAGGUCCCGCCUGCCCAGUGACCACAUGUUUAACGGCCGCGGUACUUUGACCGUGCAAAGGUAGCGCAAUCACUUGUCUUUUAAAUGAAGACCUGUAUGAAUGGCACGACGAGGGCUUAACUGUCUCCUUUUUCUAGUCAAUGAAAUUGAUCUUCCCGUGCAGAAGCGGGAAUAACGUCAUAAGACGAGAAGACCCUGUGGAGCUUUAGACACUAAAUCAGCCCCUGUCAAACACCCCCCUUUAAAGGACUGAACUUUAUGGGAGAGCUGACUUGAUGUCUUCGGUUGGGGCGACCCCGGGGAAAGAAAAACCCCCGCGUGGAACAGAAGUACUACACUUCCAAAACCGAGAGUGGCCACUCAAAGUAUCAGAAAUUCUGACCAAUUACAUGAUCCGGCUUCACGCCGAUCAACGGACCAAGUUACCCCAGGGAUAACAGCGCAAUCCUCUUUUAGAGUCCAUAUCGACAAGAGGGUUUACGACCUCGAUGUUGGAUCAGGACAUCCUAAUGGUGCAGCCGCUAUUAAGGGUUCGUUUGUUCAACGAUUAAAAGUCCUACGU